rnacentral:rRNA from 1 species
GUCGAACGCUUCUUUCCUCCCGAGUGCUUGCACUCAAUUGGAAAGAGGAGUGGCGGACGGGUGAGUAACACGUGGGUAACCUACCCAUCAGAGGGGGAUAACACUUGGAAACAGGUGCUAAUACCGCAUAACAGUUUAUGCCGCAUGGCAUAAGAGUGAAAGGCGCUUUCGGGUGUCGCUGAUGGAUGGACCCGCGGUGCAUUAGCUAGUUGGUGAGGUAACGGCUCACCAAGGCCACGAUGCAUAGCCGACCUGAGAGGGUGAUCGGCCACACUGGGACUGAGACACGGCCCAGACUCCUACGGGAGGCAGCAGUAGGGAAUCUUCGGCAAUGGACGAAAGUCUGACCGAGCAACGCCGCGUGAGUGAAGAAGGUUUUCGGAUCGUAAAACUCUGUUGUUAGAGAAGAACAAGGACGUUAGUAACUGAACGUCCCCUGACGGUAUCUAACCAGAAAGCCACGGCUAACUACGUGCCAGCAGCCGCGGUAAUACGUAGGUGGCAAGCGUUGUCCGGAUUUAUUGGGCGUAAAGCGAGCGCAGGCGGUUUCUUAAGUCUGAUGUGAAAGCCCCCGGCUCAACCGGGGAGGGUCAUUGGAAACUGGGAGACUUGAGUGCAGAAGAGGAGAGUGGAAUUCCAUGUGUAGCGGUGAAAUGCGUAGAUAUAUGGAGGAACACCAGUGGCGAAGGCGGCUCUCUGGUCUGUAACUGACGCUGAGGCUCGAAAGCGUGGGGAGCAAACAGGAUUAGAUACCCUGGUAGUCCACGCCGUAAACGAUGAGUGCUAAGUGUUGGAGGGUUUCCGCCCUUCAGUGCUGCAGCAAACGCAUUAAGCACUCCGCCUGGGGAAUACGACCGCAAGGUUGAAACUCAAAGGAAUUGACGGGGGCCCGCACAAGCGGUGGAGCAU